rnacentral:rRNA from 1 species
GAUGAACGCUGGCGGCGUGCCUAAUACAUGCAAGUCGAGCGAACGGACGAGAAGCUUGCUUCUCUGAUGUUAGCGGCGGACGGGUGAGUAACACGUGGAUAACCUACCUAUAAGACUGGGAUAACUUCGGGAAACCGGAGCUAAUACCGGAUAAUAUUUUGAACCGCAUGGUUCAAAAGUGAAAGACGGUCUUGCUGCCACUUAUAGAUGGAUCCGCGCUACAUUAGCUAGUUGGUAAGGUAACGGCUUACCAAGGCAACGAUGCAUAGCCGACCUGAGAGGGUGAUCAGCCACACUGGAACUGAGACACGGUCCAGACUCCUACGGGAGGCAGCAGUAGGGAAUCUUCCGCAAUGGGCGAAAGCCUGACGGAGCAACGCCGCGUGAGUGAUGAAGGUCUUCGGAUCGUAAAACUCUGUUAUUAGGGAAGAACAUAUGUGUAAGUAACUGUGCACAUCUUGACGGUACCUAAUCAGAAAGCCACGGCUAACUACGUG